rnacentral:rRNA from 1 species
GACGAACGCUGGCGGCGUGCUUAACACAUGCAAGUCGAGCGAACAGGCCCUGCUUUUGUUGGUUGCUCGAGUGGCGAGCGGGUGAGUAACACGUGAGUAACCUGCCCUUGACUUUGGGAUAACUUCAGGGAACUGCGGCUCAUACCGGGUAGAAUCUCCUGCUGCGUGUUGUGGGAUGGAAAGUUUCGGCUGUUGUGGCUGGACUCGCUGCUUAUCCGCUUGUUUGUGGGGUAGUGGCUUACCAAGGCUUUGACGGGUAGCCGGCCUGAGAGGGUUACCGGCCACAUUGGGACUGAGAGACGGCCCAGACUCCUACGGGAGGCAGCAGUGGGGAAUAUUGCAGAAUGGGCGGAAGCCUGAUGCAGCAACGCCGCGUGCGGGAUGACGGCCUUCGGGUUGUAAACCGCUGUCGCCUGUGACGAAGCGUGAGUGACGGUAAUGGGUAAAGAAGCACCGGCUAACUACGUG